rnacentral:lncRNA from 1 species
UUAUAGAAAACAAUUAAAUCGAAGAAACAAUGAAAAUGGAACUGAAGUUGAAACCGCGCACUUGCGAUAUCAAAUAUCAAUGCAAUCAUUUUGAAGCAGAUAAUAUGCAUGCCAAUUAGAGCUUUUUUACAUUAUAUUAUAAUAAAUUCAUAAUUCAUGCAUACAAUGAGAGCUUUUGGAAAGGAGCAUUUGAAUUUAACAAACACUACCACUCAUCAUCUGAGCAAAGAUGGCAAAAGGAAUCUCAACAUUAUUUGCGAUCUAAAAAAAUUGAACCAUGGUUGUUGCUUUGUGUUGUGCUUCCCUUGCACAGACUGCAGUGCCUUCUGUCUGCUUUAGGGUGUGGCAUCUGCCAUUGGGGAGGAAAAACUGGCAUGUGUUGCCUUUUAUAGCAGACUGAUUUCAUUGUGCUGAGGGCCUCUAUUUUAUAGCCUCUUAGUUCCAAUCUUGUAGCCGAGUUGCUGAAACAAACGGGAAGAAAGGAGUUAGUGGUAUAAACUCUUCACUUUCAAGCCUCAUCCUUUUCUUCUUUCCUGGGGAAAACAUUUCAAAGUAAAUCUGUGUUAAACUUUGCAGGCUAUUUUCCUGAUCAGAAGGAGUUGCGGAGCAUGUCAGGAAGUACUCCAUCCGCAGCCGGGGCGCUAUCAGCACAUCUUAUCGGAUUUUCAAUAUAUUUAUUUUGCUUGAAUAUAAAUAUCUUGAAGUAUAAAUGUGUAAUUGAUUUUAUAUUUUAUUUUAGAGUACACAUGUAAAUAAAUACACUCGAGGAGACAUCUAUAUUUAUAUUUGCAUAUGAAAGACUUCAAAAAAUCAACUUAUGUGGCUUAAUGUGUAUAAUUAGCGUGCAUUUGAAUAUAGAAAGGAAGAAAAUCCAGGAGAAAAUGUCAAAAAGGCUCACUAACAAAGAUGUAGUAUUCUCUUGGCAAAAGCUGAUGAAUGAUUUGGCAUGAAUUCAUCUUACAGUUCUGUUAUUCUCUCUCCUACAAAGAUGAUAUACCCCUUUCUAGCAGUUUGCAUAGAAUUGCAAUUUGUUGUUGUUACAGGCUGUAAUGACCCUUGGGUAUGCACCUGAUUCCCCCCACUAGAAUUACUCACCGUUUUUUCUCGUGCUCUAUGUUUUUCUUCUAUAGCCAUAUAACAUUUUUGCACUUGCAAAGAGUACCAAAAAAAAAAAAAAAA